AUACGUAGGGGGCAAGCGUUGUCCGGAUUUACUGGGCGUAAAGGAUGCGUAGGUGGAAAUUUAAGUGGGAUGUGAAAUCCCCGGGCUCAACCCGGGAACUGCAUUCCAAACUGGAUUUCUAGAGUGCAGGAGAGGAAAGCGGAAUUCCUAGUGUAGCGGUGAAAUGCGUAGAUAUUAGGAAGAACACCAGUGGCGAAGGCGGCUUUCUGGACUGUAACUGACACUGAGGCAUGAAAGCGUGGGUAGC
rnacentral:rRNA from 1 species